GACGAAGGGGGCUAGCGUUGUUCGGAAUUACUGGGCGUAAAGGGCGCGUAGGCGGUUUGUUAAGUCAGGCGUGAAGCCCUGGGCUCAACCUGGGAUGUGCGUUUGAUACUGGCAGCUUGAGUGCAGGAGAGGAUGGUGGAAUUCCCAGUGUAGAGGUGAAAUUCGUAGAUAUUGGGAAGAACACCGGUGGCGAAGGCGGCCAUCUGGACUGCAACUGACGCUGAGGCGCGAAAGCGUGGGGAGCAAACAGG
rnacentral:rRNA from 1 species